rnacentral:rRNA from 1 species
CCUACGGGGGGCAGCAGUGGGGAAUAUUGCACAAUGGGCGAAAGCCUGUUGCAGCGACGCCGCGUGAGCGAUGAAGGCCUUCGGGUCGUAAAGCUCUGUCCUAAGGGAAGAAUAAUGACGGUACCUUAGGAGGAAGCGCCGGCUAACUAUGUGCCAGCAGCCGCGGUAAUACGUAGGGGGCGGGCGUGAUCCGGAAUCACUGGGCGUAAAGGGUGCGUAGGCGGCCCUGCAAGUCAGGAGUUAAAUCCCUCGGCUCAACCGAGGUCAGCUCUUGAAACUGUAGGGCUUGAGUGCAGGAGAGGAGUUCGGAAUUCUUAGUGUAGCGGUGAAAGGCGUAGUUAUUAGGAUGAACACCAGUGGCGAAGGCGGCUCUCUGGACUGCAACAGACGCUGAGGCACGAGAGUGUGGGGAGCGAAGAGGAUUAGAGACCCCAGUAGUC